AUGUGGUCAGGUAUGUUUAGGCUUCUAAUGUCUGAUGUUUUUCCUGUUCUUCAUUUGCAUAUUCAUCAGUUAAAAUGAUUCAUGAUACAUCAUCGGAUAUUUCUCAAACCACAGUUGUAUCUCAAGCUAACACCGUUUGCACGCUGCCAGUGUUGGCGACCACAUCGGAUGGGACCCUCGGGCGGUCAACAAAACGACGAAAACACGUUAGCUUAAGAUGUUCGAUCAAUAGAGCUGAUUCUUGAGCAAAAUACAACAACUGAUCAAGAUUUAUACCUGGAUACUCUUUAUUCAAUAAACUAAAACAUUGGUUACAGGUUCGGCUUUGGCUUCUAAUGACAUGUUUUUGUUCGGCUAAAAUGACAUGCCAAUCAAGUUGGUACCGGGUCAUUUAGCCGGGACAGUCUUGGCAUUCUAUGUUACAUCGGAUCAGCCUAACCGAGAUGAAAUCGACUUUCAGUUACUAAGAAAUGUUUCCGGCCAGCCUUAUAUUCUAUAAACAAGUGUAUAUGCUGAUGCUUUUGAUAACCGAAAAGUUUACCCGUGGUUUGAUCCCACAAAGGAUUUCCAUACCUAUUCUAUCU
rnacentral:lncRNA from 1 species